CAGCCCGCCAGAGUGCUGCUGCAGCGCAUGUUCGCCUCCUCGUUCUUGGCUCCUGCUGCCUGAGCUUCGUCCCAGCUGGUGCUCGUGUCCACAGGCGGUGCCCGUCCAUCAGCACUGCAGUCCAGACCGGGUCUCGACGAGAACGGCUCAGCAGGUCAGCAGGUGGCCGAUGUCAGGGACCGAGCAGACUGAAGAGCACAACAAGUCAGAAGAAGAAGAGCAGAAAAAGAAUCCACCCAACAAUUACAAACUACAAGCAAACAACACAGACGAUAACAGAACAAAGUCCAAGGUUCCUCCUGGAUCUCUACCAUCUUCGGAGGAAGAAUCACUGGCAGAAGUCG